rnacentral:lncRNA from 1 species
GCUUCCAAAUGUGUUCACUACUAAAUCUUAAAUAAAGUCUGGUGUUAGAAUGUAAUUAGUCUUUCAAAUGAGAAAACAACUAACCACAACAGUUUAUAAGCUGCAUAUCAAACACGGGCUUAAAUUUCGGUCCAUGAGGACUUUCUGCCUAAUCGUAGGCCUGUUUCAUGAUGAUGAGGUAUACCUUUUAUUGAGGACCUAUAUAUGAAUAUCAAUUAACUUAAGUCAAAUGUGUGAGUAUUUCAUAUGUAGGUGUAUCAAUAAAUUGUUGACUUACAAAUGUAGUGAUUGUCAGCCUUGGCCAGGUACUCACUACUUCAGCCAUGAUGUCCUUGCCCAUGGUGCUGUGGAUACAGAUGUGCUUGCUGGCUGAGGAAAGUGAUUCACUUGAGCCACACCCAGUUAUCCAACUUCUGGAAUCAGACAGAGAACAUAAACUGAGUAGCAGAGCUGUCAACUCUGCAUGGUGUCACUUCCCAGUGCAGUUGUUUUGAAAGACCCAUAUCCCUACAGUCAGAUCAAAAUAAAAAUGAAGCUCAAACUGUGAUGGAUUUCCCUCAAGUCUGCUUAGGAGAGCGAGGACUCAUGUUAUUUCCAGAGUGCUGAGGGUAGAGGAUGGGUCUGAACUGCUAGUUACUUGGCUGAGGCUCUUACAGGCAGUAGACUUGGGCUCCCCUGCAUUCACUCUUUGGAUAGAAAACCCAGUUCUGGAAGCAGCAGGGCUCUGGGCCCAGCCUGCACCUGCAUGUGUCACCCAGGGUUCGCUUGGCUCCCCCUUCUGCAGCCACAGUGAACCCAGUGUUCCUAGACUCUUCGGUGGCCUAGUUCACUUUGGCCUAGACAAUAAGCUCUUUGAAGUUAAAAUAAGCUGAUCUAUUUUGGGCUCUGUCCCUCACGUGGGGAAAUCUCAAGUUCUGUUAAGGCCAAGUGGUUUUCAGAUACCUCUGACAACACGCAGCUUCAUUUCUUUGCAAGGGCUGGGCAGGUGCUGAAGCACACACAACUUCACUGCACCUCCAUGAGGGAGGCAGUGCCCUAAAUCUGUUGUUUCUUAAGAUGACACCUAGGCUUGCCAGAAAAGUUAUUCCAAGCAUCUUCUCCAGAGAAGGGAAGACAUUGGUGACAUAUGCAUGCAGAAAGAGUCUGGUGCCUAUGAAAAAUUGAGACUUUCUCAUGGGUGGCCAUCAGGAUAACAGGAGGGCAGGGACCACAAGUGUCAGUUUUGCCCCCAAACACAAAGAAGCUGGACUUAUGAUCACUCACACCCCAAUUCUGAGUCUUCCAAAUAGCAUACAUCUAUGGUUACCAAACAUUUUCUAGCUCAUGGUAUUUGGUACAGACACAGGUUGCAGCUGUGGGAACAUAGAAGAGUAAGCCAUGUUCAUCCCUCCCAUGAAAAUCCAUGCAACCCUGGCUAGGAAGCAUGUUGUGUAAGCUAGGUGGUUAAUUCAAUUGUUCCAGCAGCUACCUUAAGAAAAGAACAUACUUCAGCAUGGUGACAUACACCUGGAAUUCCAGCACUCCC